GAACCCUUUGUGNNCUUAUACCUUACUGUUGCCUCGGCGCUAGCUGGUCCUUCGGGGCCCCUCACCCCCGGGUGUUGAGACAGCCCGCCGGCGGCCAACCCAACUCUUGUUUUUACACUGAAACUCUGAGAAUAAAACAUAAAUGAAUCAAAACUUUCAACAACGGAUCUCUUGGUUCUGGCAUCGAUGAAGAACGCAGCGAAAUGCGAUAAGUAAUGUGAAUUGCAGAAUUCAGUGAAUCAUCGAAUCUUUGAACGCACAUUGCGCCCUCUGGUAUUCCGGAGGGCAUGCCUGUUCGAGCGUCAUUUCAACCCUCAAGCCUGGCUUGGUGAUGGGGCACUGCUUCUUACCCAAGGAGCAGGCCCUGAAAUUCAGUGGCGAGCUCGCCAGGACCCCGAGCGCAGUAGUUAAACCCUCGCUCUGGAAGGCCCUGGCGGUGCCCUGCCGUUAAACCCCCAACUUCUGAAAAUUUGACCUCGGAUCAGGUAGGAAUACCCGCUGAACUUAAGCAUAUCAAUAA
rnacentral:rRNA from 1 species